rnacentral:lncRNA from 1 species
AGCUUUGAAAUAUGAUAUAAAUAAAGAGAUUGAUGCCCGAAAAACAGAAACAACAACAUUUAGUGGACAAUGUUUUUCUUAUACCCUUUUUGGCCUGCAUAAAUUACAUAAAACUUGCCAAGAAACUCUUAGGGAGAUUGUUAGACCAUCAUUAACCUCAGUCUUUUAACUAGGUUUUUUAACUUCGAUUAAGAGACGGUUCUUAUCUUUUCUUAGAUUUUAACUAAGAAAAGUUAAAAACCGUUUCUUAAAUAAGAGAUAUAAGAACCGUCUCUUAGCCAAAAAAUGUAAAAAAAACAAAAAAAACAAAAAAAGUGUCAUAUCGUUGUGUCAUUAUUCAACCUUUUGUAUUUCAUGUUAUAUGAUAGAAAAAGAAAGUAACUCAGCUGGUUAAUUGGAGGUAUAAGAGCAUAUGCAAAAGACACUAUAUAACUUUAAAUAUAAAGUUUUUUACUUUUUAAAAAUUAACUUCAAAACUUCAAAUUUGAAUUUCUAAACACUGCGUUUCACUUUUCAAAUUUCAAAUUUGAAGUUUCAUAUUUUAUUUGCAUUUUG